AGCGCAAAGUUGAACUGGAGUGGUUUAGUACGGUCAGCUGAUUCUACAAAUCUACUCUACUUCAAAUUUGGGCCC
rnacentral:pre_miRNA from 1 species